CCUACGGGAGGCAGCAGUAGGGAAUUUUGCGCAAUGGGCGAAAGCCUGACGCAGCAAUGCCGCGUGAGUGAAGAAGGCCCUCGGGUCGUAAAGCUCUUUAUCUUCGGGAAGAUGAUGACGGUACCGAAGGAAGAAGCACCGGCUAACUACGUGCCAGCAGCCGCGGUAAUACGAAGGGACCUAGCGUAGUUCGGAAUUACUGGGCUUAAAGAGUUCGUAGGUGGUUGAAAAAGUUGGUGGUGAAAUCCCAGAGCUUAACUCUGGAACUGCCAUCAAAACUUUUCAGCUAGAGUAUGAUAGAGGAAAGCAGAAUUUCUAGUGUAGAGGUGAAAUUCGUAGAUAUUAGAAAGAAUACCAAUUGCGAAGGCAGCUUUCUGGAUCAUUACUGACACUGAGGAACGAAAGCAUGGGUAGCGAAGAGGAUUAGAUACCCUCGUAGUCCAUGCCGUAAACGAUGUGUGUUAGACGUUGGAAAUUUAUUUUCAGUGUCGCAGCGAAAGCAAUAAACACACCGCCUGGGGAGUACGACCGCAAGGUUAAAACUCAAAUGAAUUGACGG
rnacentral:rRNA from 1 species